GUUUUCGGAUAAUCGCAGUAUCGCUUCGGUGAUGUUGAGGAAAGUCCAUGCUCGCACAGGCUGAGAUGCGUGUAGUGAUCGUGCUUAACGAAACAAUAAGUUAAGGUACCUUGUAGAAGGUAACGGCAGACAAAAGAGCUAAAGCGCGUGCGUCAUGCUCAAGUAGUCUUGAAAAGUGCCACAGUGACGAAGUAAUUUUAGAAAUAAAAUUAGUGGAACGGGUAAACCCCUCGAGCGAGCAACCCAAACUUAUGGUAGGGGCACCUUUCUCAGGGAAAUGAACUUAUGAGAAGGGACAGAGUAUUCUGUAGACAGAUGGUUAUCCUUGUUAUUUUUCCUGAAAGAAAUAACAAGACAGAACAUGGCUUACAGAA
rnacentral:RNase_P_RNA from 1 species